rnacentral:lncRNA from 1 species
AAUUGUUGGCUUUUGAACGUGCGUAUGCAGCUGACACGCGUGCCUACGCGAUUCUUGCUUCGGCCGGCUACUUGACCGGAACUUGCGUAACUAGCGACACGAAUAAAACUGAUCGAUGGAUUUGAUGGCUAAAGGCCCGUGUCGAGCCUUUGCUUUGUAUUGCUUUUCUUUUUUCUGGUGUUACAAUCAACACCCCUAGGGUGUCUUUUAUACACGUCCACAAUGGACUAUGGAAAUAGACUAGGACUAGGAAUCCUAAUACUACUAGGACUCGGUUUGGCUUUCUUUCCUAAUCCUACAUGAGCAACAUGAUUAACAUCU